UGGGGGAUAUUGCACAAUGGAGGAAACUCUGAUGCAGCGACGCCGCGUGAGGGAAGACGGUCUUCGGAUUGUAAACCUCUGUCUUAGGGGAAGAAAAUGACGGUACCCUAAGAGGAAGCUCCGGCUAACUACGUGCCAGCAGCCGCGGUAAUACGUAGGGAGCGAGCGUUGUCCGGAAUUACUGGGUGUAAAGGGAGCGUAGGCGGGACAGCAAGUUGGAUGUUUAAACUACCGGCUUAACCGGUAUCUGCAUCCAAAACUGCAGUUCUUGAGUGAAGUAGAGGCAGGCGGAAUUCCUAGUGUAGCGGUGAAAUGCGUAGAUAUUAGGAGGAACACCAGUGGCGAAGGCGGCCUGCUGGGCUUUAACUGACGCUGAGGCUCGAAAGCGUGGGGAGCAAACAGG
rnacentral:rRNA from 1 species